AUUGAACGCUGGCGGCAGGCCUAACACAUGCAAGUCGAACGAGUGGCGGACGGGUGAGUAAUGUCUGGGAAACUGCCUGAUGGAGGGGGAUAACUACUGGAAACGGUAGCUAAUACCGCAUACCAUCGGAUGUGCCAAGAUGGGAUUCGCUAGUAGGUGGGGUAAAGGCUCACCUAGGCGACGAUCCCUAGCUGGUCAGAGAGGAUGACCAGCCACACUGGAACUGAGACACGGUCCAGACUCCUACGGGAGGCAGCAGUGGGGAAUCUUGCACAAUGGGCUGAAGCCUGAUGCAGCCAUGCCGCGUGUGUGAAGAAGGCCUUCGGGGUGUAAAGCACUUUCAGCGGGGAGGCGUUACCCGCAGAAGAAGCACCGGCUAACUCCGUGCCAGCAGCCGCGGUAAUUC
rnacentral:rRNA from 1 species